CCUGUGGAGAGUGAUACGAAACGUUAGUAGGGAGUACGUGCCGAGGACGCAUUCUAAGAAGCAGGAA
ncrna:Kurthia sp. JC30 RAGATH-18 RNA